GGGGUCCUUUCCAGAGGCAGUUGUCUUGGAGGUGUCAUCAACGUCCUGGGUCUCUUCAACCAUGGAGAGAGCACUUGGGUCAUGUGGACUCCACCGCUGAGGGAGAGCUUCUCCUAUCCCUUCUUUGUCCUGCAGAUGCUGCUGUGAACACACAUUCUCGGGCAUUCCAACCCUGGAGGAAGAUCCCUAGUAAUUAUUGGUGCUUGCAAUGUGUUGUUCCUUCUUCCUUGGCCAUUUGCCCAGUUUGUCUUGCUAACUCAGGUUGCAUGUCUGUUUGCCUGUUAUUUGAUGGGCUUUCUCCACUGCCAAGAUGACGUCACUACUUGUUGUGCACCUGGUAUUACUACUGAAUUGAUAUUUAGACAGACUUGUCACAGGAUUAAGAAACAUACUAGUAUCUGCUGUUGUUGUGAAAUUAUCAUAGUAUAGUUCCAACAUGAACAUUUUUCAUAAAUUAUGGUUUGAUGAUGGAUCAAUGUAUUUUGAUUUGCUCAAAUGUUAUUUAUUUCUCUCUUUAGGCUUCACUUGCCAUCUGCUUUAUUAUGUUGUUUGAGAAUUUGGCACUUUGACAUCUUUUUACACUUUUUCCUUGGUUGCUGGUUGGGCCAUCGUCGCACUGAGAGACAAUGUUGCACGAGUCUGCAAACCUGGAAUCGUCACAAUUGCAGUAAUUUAGUUAUAUGCUGGGGUACAUUUGUGAAAUUACAUUCCUCAGAAUUUGACAUUUUUCUGUGACCUUUUUCAAGAGAGAUCUAUUGAAUUCCACUGGUAUGAUAGCAUCCCAUGGGUCUCAACUCUAUACCCCCAAUGUAACACCUGGUAACAUGCAAUUACAUACAGAGUAUUGGGAAAGUAUUCAGACCCCUUCUCUUUUUCCAAAUGUAGUUACAUUACAGCCUUAUUUUAAAAUAGCUGAAAUUAGAUUUUUUUUCUCAUCAAUCUACACACAAUACCCCAUAAUGACAAAGCGAAAAGUUUCUUAGAAAGUUUAGCAAAUGUAUAAAAACAAAACAAAUCUGAAAUACCUUAUUUACGUAAGUAUUCAGACCCUUUGCUAUAAGAUAAGAAAUUUAUCUCAGGUUAAUCCUGUUUCCAUUGUUCAUUCUUGAGAUGUUUCUACAACUUGAUUGGAGUCCAC